rnacentral:rRNA from 1 species
UACGUAGGGUGCGAGCGUUGUCCGGAAUUACUGGGCGUAAAGAGCUCGUAGGUGGUUUGUCGCGUUGUUCGUGAAAACCUGAGGCUUAACCUUGGGCGUGUGGGCGAUACGGGCAGACUGGAGUACUGCAGGGGAGACUGGAAUUCCUGGUGUAGCGGUGGAAUGCGCAGAUAUCGUAAGGAAGACCAGUGGCGAAGGCGGGUCUCUGGACAGUUCCUGACGCUGAGGCACGAAGGUCAGGGGAGCAAACGGG